rnacentral:rRNA from 1 species
UACAGAGGGUGCGAGCGUUGUCCGGAAUCACUGGGCGUAAAGGGCGCGUAGGCGGCUUGAUAAGCGUGCGGUGAAAGCCCGGGGCUCAACCCCGGGUCGGCCGUGCGAACUGUCGAGCUGGAGCACUGUAGAGGCAGGUGGAAUUCCGGGUGUAGCGGUGGAAUGCGUAGAGAUCCGGAAGAACACCGGUGGCGAAGGCGGCCUGCUGGGCAGUAACUGACGCUGAGGAGCGAAAGCGUGGGGAGCGAACAGG